AACGAACGCUGGCGGCGUGCUUAACACAUGCAAGUCGAACGCGAACGGUUUCUUCGGAAGCCUAGUAGAGUGGCGCACGGGUGAGUAACGCGUAAGUAAUCUACCCUGAUAUCUGGGAUAACAACUCGAAAGGGUUGCUAAUACCGGAUACGUUGAUUUAUCAAGAAAGAUGGCCUCUAUUUAUAAGCUAUUGUAUCAGGAGGAGCUUGCGUACCAUUAGCUAGUUGGUGGGGUAAUGGCCUACCAAGGCGACGAUGGUUAGCGGGUCUGAGAGGAUGAUCCGCCACACUGGAACUGAAACACGGACCAG
rnacentral:rRNA from 1 species